rnacentral:misc_RNA from 1 species
ACAGAUUUUCUCUCUCAUCAACUUUCUCUCUCCAAAAAAAAAUAAAAUAUACAGCUAAGAAGCUGAAUCUAUCUACUGGAGGCACAGUGAAGUUCAAAAAAGAUUUGGGGUUUUAUGUGCACAGCAUUCUGGUUGGAUGAUUUAAAGCAAAACAACAUUCUGAUUAGAUGAUUUAAAGUAAGGUUGGGUAGGGUUAAUCUAUCUUUAUCGGAAGGGAGGGAAAAAUUGACACGGAACUGAAUAACUAGUGCAGUGGAUGAUGCAGCAAAAUUUGAGCGGAAAGAAGUCUGGUUUAGUUGUUUCAAAGACAAGCUUCCAUCUUUUGGAUUAAAAAUGGAGACUUUCUGUGUACCUCAGAUCCAUCUAGUAAUCACUCGCUAUUAUUGGGUUUGCUUUGUUCUCUGCCUAGUUCUUCUUCAGCGCAAUUGAAGUUUCUUCAGCUUAG